UACGUAUGGUGCAAGCGUUAUCCGGAUUUACUGGGUGUAAAGGGAGCGUAGACGGAAAAGCAAGUCUGGAGUGAAAGCCCGGGGCUCAACCCCGGGACUGCUUUGGAAACUGUUAUUCUUGAGUGCCGGAGAGGUAAGCGGAAUUCCUAGUGUAGCGGUGAAAUGCAUAGAUAUCACGAAGAACACCGGUGGCGAAGGCGGCCAACUGGUCCGGUACUGACGCUGAGGCACGAGAGCGUGGGGAGCGAACAGG
rnacentral:rRNA from 1 species